UCAACGCUUAUUUGACAGUUUAUUAAACGAUGUGGCACGCCACGUGUGUAAUUGUUAAAUUAAAAAAAAUAAAAAAAAUCGCAUGUAUAUAUAUUGAUGAAUUAAAAAAAAAUAAAAAGAAAAAAGAAAAAAGGAAGUUCACGUGAGGGAUUCUCUCUCAACCCUUCUUUCUCUCCCCUCUUUCUCUCCACACCAACACCAGCAACCAACCCCCUUUCCCCUCUAGCCUGCAAAUUAAUUCUCAAAGUAAGUGUUAAGAAAGGUAAAAUUCAUAUAAAGAAGAACAGAAAUAUGUGAAUGGAAAUUAUUCUCAUUGAAUUGAAAAGUGGAAAUACAAUUCUGAUAUAUAGAGAAAGAUGGAGCGUGCAAAAUACUAAUUGCUGUUCCUAUCAAAUCCCUAGAAUAUCUCCCUAAUAAUGUGAAAAAUAAAAACCAUAGAAACAAAAUCUUCCAGCUAUUAAUUAUGAACAAAUUGACUCUCUUUGCUAUCAGUAAGAGUUCUUCUAUCGAUAUUAUCCGUUUGAUCCAAUUCUUUAUUUAUGGCUGAGAUUUGUUUGUUCAACAUCCUCCCACAAGCUGAAGCAAGGUAUAUGUUAAGCAUGCCAAGCUUGGAAAUAAAACUGUGAAACUUUGGAGGUGGAAGUGCCUUUGUCAGGAAAUCAACUAGCUGUUCUGAAGAUGAGAUAGGUAAGAGUUUUAAAAUUCCCUUUUGAACCUUUUCACGCACAAGGUGACAAUCUAUUUCUAGGUGUUUUGUCCUCUCAUGUAAAACCGGAUUAGAUGCUAUAAGAAUAGCACUAUGGUUGUCACAGUAGAUAACUGGAAGCUUACUGCAAUUAACCUUCAAAUCUGCAAGUAAAUAGAGCAACCAUUGCAGCUCACAUGUGGCAGAAGAGAGAGCCCUAUAUUCCGCUUCAGAAGAGGAUCUGGAAACUGUUGGUUGCUUCUUUGCUCUCCAUGAAAUCAAUGACUUUCCUAGAAAGAAACAAUAACCAGAUACCGAGCGCCUUGUGUCUAGACAUCCUGCCCAAUCAGCAUCAGAAUAUCCAGGGCCGGCCCUGGGGAGGUGCAAACAGCUCUACAGAGCUGGGCCUCCCCAAUUUUGGGGCCCAAAAUAUUUUUUUUUUUAAUAUAUAACGCAUUGAAAUUUUAAUAUAUAGGCAUAGCAUAGAAUUUUUACAAACUAAAUGUUGUGGCCUAGCGGUUAACUGUGGUAGUGUAGUGCUUUUUGUCUGCGGUUCAACUCCCAUAUAUGGCAAAUGUCAUUUUUUUUAAUUGUAUUAUUCUUUUAUCUCUUUUGGGCAUAAUUUUAAUGGAUUUGAGGUCUAUAUUUCAUCAAUACUUUCUCUUCUCCUUCCAAUUCAAUUCACUUCUUUUGCAAAGCUGUAACAACAAACAUUAUAAUUAUUCUAAAAAUAAAGAAAACAUUAUGUUCUUUUUUUCUUUUAAAAAAAUUGUAUAUUUUAGGGGCCUAUUAAUAAUAAGAGAGCCAGGCCUCCAAUUUCACAGGGACGGCCCUGAGAAUAUCCAAGUACUUGUAAUUCUGAUUGCCUAUCAAAGAAGAUACCUUGACCUGGAUUAUUUUUGAGGUACCUUAUGACUCUACAAGCUGCAUGAUAGUGUGUCACAGUAGGUGAGUGAAGGAACUGACUUAAUUGUUGUGUUGCAAAUAUAAUAUCAGGGCGUGUGGUAUUUAGAUACAAAAGCUUUCCAAUUAGUCUUCUAUAAGAUGAAAUAUCUUCAUAAGGCUUUCGUAAGUCAUUAUGC
rnacentral:lncRNA from 1 species